rnacentral:rRNA from 1 species
CCUACGGGUGGCAGCAGUGGGGAAUAUUGGGCAAUGGGCGCAAGCCUGACCCAGCAACGCCGCGUGAAGGAAGAAGGCUUUCGGGUUGUAAACCUCUUUUUAGAGGGAAGAGCAGAAGACGGUACCUCUUGAAUAAGCCACGGCUAACUACGUGCCAGCAGCCGCGGUAAUACGUAGGUGGCAAGCGUUGUCCGGAGUUACUGGGUGUAAAGGGCGUGCAGCCGGGAAGGCAAGUCAGGUGUGAAAGCCCGGGGCUCAACCGGCGAACUGCAUUUGAAACUGUUUUUCUUGAGUACCGGAGAGGUCAUCGGAAUGCGUGGUGUAGCGGUGAAAUGCGUAGAUAUAAGGAAGAACACCAGUGGCGAAGGCGGAUUACUGGACGGCAACUGACGGUGAGGCACGAAAGCGUGGGGAGCGAACAGGAUUAGAUACCCUAGUAGUC